rnacentral:rRNA from 1 species
AGCAGCCGCGGUAAUUCCAGCUCCAAUAGCGUAUAUUAAAGUUGUUGCAGUUAAAAAGCUCGUAGUUGAAUUUCGGGAUCAAGGAAUCGGUCAUGCCUCGGUAUGUACUGGUUUUAUUGGUUCUCACCUUCUAAAGAACCAUGAUGUCAUUAAUUUGAUGUUAUGGGGAAUUAGGACUGUUACCUUGAAAAAAUUAGAGUGUUUAAAGCAGGCUUACGCUUGAAUACAUUAGCGUGGAAUAAUGAAAUAGGACAUCAGAUUCUAUUUUGUUGGUUUCUAGGAUCGAUGUAAUGAUUAAUAGGGAUAGUUGGGGGCAUUAGUAUUCAAUUGUCAGAGGUGAAAUUCUUGGAUUUAUUGAAGACUAACUACUGCGAAAGCAUUUGCCAGGAUGUUUUCAUUAAUCAAGAACGAAAGUUAGGGGAUCGAAGACGAUCAGAUACCGUCGUAGUC